CUCCUUUGACGUUAGCGGCGGACGGGUGAGUAACACGUGGGUAACCUACCUAUAAGACUGGGAUAACUUCGGGAAACCGGAGCUAAUACCGGAUAAUAUUUCGAACCGCAUGGUUCGAUAGUGAAAGGUGGUUUUGCUAUCACUUAUAGAUGGACCCGCGCCGUAUUAGCUAGUUGGUAAGGUAACGGCUUACCAAGGCGACGAUACGUAGCCGACCUGAGAGGGUGAUCGGCCACACUGGAACUGAGACACGGUCCAGACUCCUCGGGAGGCAGCAGAC
rnacentral:rRNA from 1 species